rnacentral:rRNA from 1 species
UACGUAGGGGGCAAGCGUUGUCCGGAUUUAUUGGGCGUAAAGCGCUCGCAGGUGGUUCGUUGCGUCGUGCGUGAAAGACCCCGGCUCAACUGGGGAGGGUCGUGCGAUACGGGCGAACUGGAGGCCAGUAGGGGGAUGCGGAAUUCCGGGUGUAGUGGUGGAAUGCGUAGAGAUCCGGAGGAACACCGAUGGCGAAGGCAAUCCCCUGGGCCUGCACUGACGCUCAUGCACGAAAGCGUGGGGAGCAAACAGG